rnacentral:misc_RNA from 1 species
GAUGAAGAACGUAGCGAAAUGCGAUAAGUAAUGUGAAUUGCAGAAUUCAGUUAAUCAUCGAAUCUUUGAACGCACCUUGCGCCCUUUGGCUAUUCCGAAGGGCAUGCCUGUUUGAGUAUCAUGAACACCUCAACUCUUUAUGGUUUUCCAUGAAGGGCUUGGACUUUGGGGGUCUUGCUGGCCUUUAGUCAGCUCCUCUCAAACGAAUCAGCUUUCCAGUGUUUGGCAGCGUCACAGGUGUGAUAACUAUCUACGCUUGUGGUUUUCUGCCAGGUAAUCCUCAGUGAUGGGGAUUCGCUGGGGCUUAUAAAUGUCUCUCCUCAGCGAAGACAGCUUUGUGAACGUUUGAUCUCAAAUCAGGUAGGACUACCCGCUGAACUUAAGCAUAUCAAUAAGCGGAGGA